AUUGAUGGUGCCAGCCAUAUUUCUGCGGGAAUGGAGGCGUAAAUGAACACCAUAUGUCACAGCUUAUCACGUACGGUAGGAGGGAACUGUGAAUGGCGCAGCGUGGCCUACUUAGGAAUGCUGAUGGAUCAUUCGCAGCCAGCUUUUGUUCCAGACUGGGCUUCACCUCACUGUGUUAUUGGGCUAUAAGCUCCCUCUUCUCCACCACCCUCCUCCAGAUGGAAAAGGGAGCCCAAGGAGAUGAAAGAAAAAUCAAGAAAAAAAUUAGAAAAAUGGAUCCCCUAUUUCAAAUACACUUCUCAAGCAUCUAAGUUACUGCAGCGGAGAGGGGCUAGAGUAAUCACGUUGAAUGAACAAAUGAUGUCCUUCUCAGAACUAAUUAUUUCUGAAACUUAGGAGUGUUUUUUCCAUUUCAUGCUGUAGCCAGAAUUGGGAAGCAUAUGAAUCUCUCAUUUCAGAAAGUGAAACUUAGUGUCUCAAAUCAGGAGUCCCUAAUCCCUGGAACGCAGACAGGUACCGGUCCGUGUCCUGUUAAGAACCAGGCCACAAAGCAGGAGAGGAACUUGCAAGAGGAAUUCUCGGCUGAAAUGUCACAGAUAG
ensembl:lncRNA novel transcript